rfam:Pichia guilliermondii ATCC 6260 scaffold_8 genomic scaffold, whole genome shotgun sequence.
GGCACUCUGGCCGAGUUGGUCUAAGGCGCCAGGGUAAGGUCCUGGUCUCUCCGGAGGCGCGAGUUCGAAUCUCGCGGGUGUCA